CCCUUAGAUGUCCUGGGCCGCACGCGCGCUACAAUGACUUAUUCAGAAAGUUUUACCUGGUUCGGAAGAAUUCAGGAUAAUCUUUGUAAUACAAGUCGUGUUAGGGAUCGAUCUUUGCAAUUAUAGAUCUUGAACGAGGAAUGCCUAGUAAGUGCAGUUCAUCAGGCUGUGCUGAUUACGUCCCUGCCCUUUGUACACACCGCCCGUCGCUCCUACCGAUUUCGAGUGGUCCGGUGAACCAUCUGGAUUGGAUCGCAAGAUUCGAGAAGUUUAGUAAACCUUAUCACUUAGAGGAAGGAGAAGUCGUAACA
rnacentral:rRNA from 1 species